rnacentral:tRNA from 1 species
GCCCGGCUAGCUCAAUCAGUAGAGCGUGAGACUCUUAAUCUCAAGGUUGGGUGGGUUCGACCCCCACGUCGGGCU